UACGUAGGGUGCAAGCGUUUAAUCGGAAUCACUGGGCGUAAAGGCGCGUAGGCGGCCAUUCAAGUCGGGGGUGAAAGCCCAGGGCUCAACCCUGGAAUUGCCUUCGAUACUGUUUGGGCUAGAGACCGGAAGAGGUAAGUGGAACUGCGAGUGUAGAGGUGAAAUUCGUAGAUAUUCGCAAGAACACCAGUGGCGAAGGCGGCUUACUGGUCCGGUUCGUGACGCUGAGGCGCGAAAGCGUGGGGAGCAAACAGG
rnacentral:rRNA from 1 species